UUAUGAGCAGCGAUUACAAACUUCAUCAGAGCAGUGAGUCUGGAAAUCUCAUCUUUGAGUUCCCUAUUAUCUUGUUCAAGAUGCUCCAUUCUUCUUAGAUGAUUAACUCGGGUGUUAUAGUGAUGAGUCAGCUUGGCUGAUACACAAAAUAAGAACUGAUAAGACAUCUGGCGGAAGAAACCUAUUAUGCAAAUGAAGCAUGAAAUGCAAUUUUUU
rnacentral:lncRNA from 1 species